rnacentral:hammerhead_ribozyme from 1 species
AUUCAGCUGACGAGUCCCAAAAUAGGACGAAACGCGCGUUCUGAAU